rnacentral:rRNA from 1 species
GGUUGAUAGGCCGGGUAUGGAAGCGGGGACUGAAGACUCGUGGAGUUGACUGGUACUAAUAGGCCGAAGGCUUACUUUU